GACGAACGCUGGCGGCGUGCCUAACACAUGCAAGUUGAGCGACGAACCAGGGCUUGCCCUGGGGCAAAGCAGCGAACGGGUGAGUAACACGUGGGUAACCUACCCCGAUAACCGGGACAACCCGAGGAAACUCGGGCUAAUACCGGAUGUGCUCACUGGACUUCGGUUCAGUGCGUAAAGGAAGCUUCGGCCUCCGUAUCGGGAGGGGCCCGCGGCCCAUUAGUUUGUUGGUGAGGUAACGGCUCACCAAGACCGCGAUGGGUAGCUGGUCUGGGAGGACGAUCAGCCACACUGGGACUGAGACACGGCCCAGACUCCUACGGGAGGCAGCAGUGGGGAAUCUUGCGCAAUGCGCGAAAGCGUGACGCAGCAACGCCGCGUGGGGGAAGAAGGCCUUCGGGUUGUAAACCCCUUUCAGGAGGGACGAAGGUUCGGCGGUGAAUAGCCGUCCGGACUGACGGUACCUCCACAAGAAGCCCCGGCUAACUACGUG
rnacentral:rRNA from 1 species